UCACCAAGUGCGUGCUCUUGGUCUCGUCGUCGUAGGUUGUAGAGUCGGGCGUCGAUGUUUUGCUUCUCUUUAAUACGCAUUCGGGCGAGCUGAAGAGCUUCCUCGGCGCGUUGAAGGAAUCCGGCAACGUCUGCAUGGAUGUUGUCUUCGACGUGAGGCAACACCGCAUCCAGCAUGGUGGCGCCUUGGCGACCGAAGACAAGCUCGAAUGGCGUCAUCUGCGUUGUUUCCUGUGGCGCGGUGUUGUACGCGAACGUCACGUACGGAAGGAUUUCGUCCCAAGUCUUGUGCCCGACGUCGACAUACAUGGCGAGCAUGUCGGCGAGGGUUUUAUUUAAACGCUCCGUGAAGCCGUUUGUCUGCAGGUGGUACGCUGUAGUGUGCCGAUGGCUCGUGUGGCUCAAGUGCAGAAUCUGUUGCAUGAGUUCUGCUGUGAAUGCCGUACCUCUGUCGGUAAUAAGGACCUCGGGUGCACCAUGACGGAGCACGAUGUUCUUUACGAAGAAUUUGGCGACGUCGAUUGCAUUUCCCGAUGGUAACGCCAUUGUCUCGGCAUAGUGCGUAAGGUAGUCCGUUGCUACCACUAUUCACCUGUUCC
rnacentral:lncRNA from 1 species